UACGUAGGGCGCAAGCGUUGUCCGGAAUUAUUGGGCGUAAAGAGCUCGGUAGGCGGCCAGUUGCGUUCUGCUGUGAAAUCCCGGGGCUCAACCCCGGGCGUGCAGUGGAUACGGGCUGGCUAGAGGCAGGCAGGGGAGAACGGAAUUCCGGUGUAGCGGUGAAAUGCGCAGAUAUCGGGAGGAACACCGGUGGCGAAGGCGGUUCUCUGGGCCUGUACUGACGCUGAGGAGCG
rnacentral:rRNA from 1 species